GUUUCCCCCAAGGAAGGUGUGGUAUGCAGGUAGACUACUAGUAACAAAGCUGCAGACGCCGCAGUCUAUUUAUGCCCCAGUCUAUUUACGUGGUGGCUGGGCCAAACGCAAGUUCUAGGAUGCCCAGGAGGGGCGGGAAAGGCGAACCUACGAAAUGCUGGCGGGAUCUGUGGAGGAGCAGGCGCGGGGAGCAGACACUACAGGACUAUUGAGCGAUGUCGCAUCUCACUCCCGCCAGCGCGAGCCUCGAUCAUAUGAAGUAUUUCAUGCAUGAACCAGGGAAGAUUCCAAUUCGUUGAACCUGGGAAAUUGGAACUGAAAAGGGAUAUCCAUAGGAGACAGAGUCUCACUGAGUUACUUAUCUCCUCGACAUUGCUAAUGCUGGCUUUGAACUUGCAAUCCUCCUGCCUCAGCCUCCCGAAAUGCUGGGAUUAUAGCUGCUGGGAUUACAGGCAUGCCACAGUGCCCAGCUAUUAAAUGUGUUCUUCAGCUUGUAUUUCAUUGUUUGAAGCACAAUAUUUCAUAUUCUAGUACUUGAAGCAUAAAAACUAUUUGAAUAUCUUAUUGUAAAAGUAACAAUGAAGCAUAUGAUACAUACUAUGUAAAAGAAUUAUGUUUAUAAAUAAAAUCUUCUUCUAAUUGGUUUCUUGUAAUGACUGUAUGCUAAUGGCAAAGUCAUUCCAUUAUACUCCCCUUUCCUUAGCAUUUAGCAUUGAGUACAGAAGUUUCAAUAGCUUCUAUAUAAUUAAGGAAAAAAACUUAUAAAUGCAUAAAAUAGAAGCCAAAGUGAAUUCUCAUUCUGGUAAUCAAAUGAAGUACUUAAAAAUUUGCUUCUUCAUAGUAUAGAAACCUAAAUAUUACCAUGUAUAAAAUCAUAAGCUAGUUUUUGAUAACUUUAAGAAUCUUUACCUUAAAUAUUAAAACAGUUAAAUGAAUUAAGUUCAAGAAUAUUAGAGAAUUGUAUUAAAGACCUUAAAAUAAAAUUCUCUACUAAAAACAAUUUUAAAACUUUCAAAACAAUGAAUAUAAAACUGUUAAAACCAUUGACAGUAGUAGAUGCAUUGUAGGUCAACUUACUGUUGUCAAUGUGGAGAGCAAGAAAAAACAUUUUAUUUAGCAAUUGAAAUAUUUAAGAAAUACAUGUAGAAAUCUAAGUAUUUUUAGCAUAAUUCAUUUUAAAAAUUCAAUGUCAAUAAGAAUUGUGCUGGGGCUGGGGAUGUGGCUCAAGUGGUGGUGUGCUGGCCUGGCAUGUACAAGGCACUGGGUUCAAUCCUCAGCACCACAUAAAAAUAAAUAAAGAUAUGUGUCCACCUAAAACAAAAAAAUAAAUAUUAAAAAAAAAGAAUUGUGCUAUAACACAAGUAGAAAAAGAACCAUUAUAACACUAACCAUUGUCAAAUGAAACACUUUAGAAAGUAAAUGACAUACAAGUUUGUGAUUUGCCUUGACUAUAUAGAUUAGUCUAAAAAUCAUGCUACUAAUGGAACAUCCUUUAAACCACAAUAUUUUACUUUAAAAGGCAAAUAUCCUCAGUUAUUAUUUAUACCAUCUUAUCAUUAAGGCCCUGCCUACAUAUAAAGUAAGUGAAAUGAAGAUCUGAAAUGAAGUUUUUAAUCAUAGUUAACCCAAGCACAUUAUCCCUUUCCCUCCCACUCCCAACUCAAUAAAGUGAGUAUGGUAUCAGUUUUAAUUACUACUCUAGGGGAAAUUAAUUAAAACUACAAACCAGAAAAUAGGUUUAAUCAACUUUUUUGGGUUGUAUUGGUUUAGUGGCUUUUAAAAUUUUAUAAAAGCUAUGUAGAUUAAGAAUAAAAUAUCCAAUUUAUCAAAUCACUUAAAAUGAAAUCUGUAUCAUGAGUUGGAGAUUUAUUAUUAUAUAUUCAAACUCUUUAAAAAAACUAUUUUGUGAAGAUGUGAAUUUGGUGUCAACAUACAUUAUGUAUAAUCAGAGAUGAUAAAUUGUGGUAUAAAGGUGUAUUAAGAAUUGUAAUGCAAAAAAUAAUGAUAAUAAUAAUAAGAGAGCUCAUGUAUAAUGGCAUAAUAAAUAAAUAAAUAAGCAAAAAAAAAAUUGGUUCUGGGAUUGAACCCAGGGUUUCAUACAUGAUAGGGAAGUACUCUACCACUGAGCUACAUCCCAUCCCCUAAUGUUUGUUGUUAUUUUUUAAAAUUUUAUUUCAAGACAAAGUCUUGCAAAAUUGCCUAGGCUAGCCUCAAACUUGAGAUCCCCCUGUCUCAGCCUGCUGAGUAGUUGUGUUGGAAUUUCCAUUGGUAUUGAGAUGUGUUGUUUAUAUCAAAUUAAUCCUGUUGUUAGUCUUCAAAAAUAAUAAUAUAUGGGCUGGGGUUGUGGCUUGAUGGUAGAGUGCUUGCCUAGCAUGUGCUCAGCACCACAUGAAAACAAAUAAAUAAAAUAAAAGGUAUUGUGUCCAACUACAACUAAAAAAAUAAAUAUAAAAAAAAUAAUGUAUACAUGUUUAUUGGGGAGAAUGAGAAUAUGACAGUAGUUAAUAUCAGUUUUGUGUGUUAGGAAAAAAAUGUCUUUAAAACAUUUUUACCUCCCAUAAUGAUUUACCUAUCAAAAUGACUUUAGUGGGAAACUGAAACUUUUUAAAAUCCAUAUUUGAUAAUGGAUUAGGAACAUUAGAUUUUUCCAAUUUUUUUUUAUAUUAAGUACACAUAUGGGGGAAGAUGACUGUAGGACUAUAUAUCUUCAAAUUGCUAUUACAUGAUUUCUUGUGACUUUUAGUAGCAUUAAUAAAUUUUUUAAAAUAAAAACAAUCUAAGAGUUUAAGAAGAAUAUAGUAUUUCUCCUGCAUGGUGAGAUUGGAGUGGUUUUUCAUUUUUUUUUAACUUUAUACAUUACUUUUAUAAUAAACUUCCAAGAGCAAAAAAGAUAGCUGUGUGAUGUUGGGCACCAACUCACCUAUCAUGUAACCACUUUGAUAAUAAAUAACUGUCAAAUUAUCCAAAUCUACCAUAUGGUGAUUCACAGAAGUUAUUCAGACACCUGAAAUGAUUAUGGAUCAGACAUAAUGAAUGCCACAGAUAGAAUACAGAAAAAAAUUGUUAUGAUUAAAGCCAAGUCUUUAAAUAGGUAUACUUUCUUAGAAAGUUUUCAACUAUUUUAUCCACCUCAGAAAUUCUGUUAAACCUAUGGGAUGUCAGAGAUUACAGAGUAUUUUUACAAUUCUGCUUUUAAUAUAAUACUUCCCAUAGGCAUAAUCUAAUUUAAGUGUGGGUCAUUUUAAUAUAAAUCAGCAAUCUAAAAAUUUACAUUUUAUAAACUAAUUCUAAGGCUGGGGUUGUAUCUCAGUGGUAGAGCACUUGCCAGACACAUGUGAGGCACUGGGUUCAAUGCUCAGCACCACAUAAAAAUAAAUAAAUAAAGUUAUUGUUUUUAAGUUUUUAGUUAAAAAAUAACUAAAAAAUAAAAAAUAAAUAAAACUAAAAAAUAAAUAAAAAAAACCAAACUAUUGCUAUCCUAGAAAAGUAUACAAUAAAUAUACAGACAUCAGAAUAUAUGCCUCUAAAAUAUAUAUAAAAAAUUUAAUCAGCCUUACUGUGUAAUUUCUUAAAAUAAGAAAUAAAUUUGAAAAUUGCAUGAGCUAGAAAAAUCAUGGCAUUCUAUAGGUAAUCCUAUUUUAUAAAUAUAGUAACUAAACAGUUUUUUAAAUUAAUUAAUUUAUUUUAAUUAGGUAUAUAUGACAGCAGAAUGCAUUUUGAUUCGUUGUACACAAUUGCAGCGCAACUUUUCAUUUCAGUAGUUAUACACGAUGUAGCGUCACACCAUAUAUGCAGUCAUACAUGUACCUAGGGUAAUGAUGUCCAUCUCAUUCUACCAUUUUUCCCGCCUCUAUGCAACCUCCCUAUCCUUCCUCCCCUUUGCCCAAUCACAGUUACUCCAUUUUUCCCAUGCCUCCUCCCUCCCCAUUAGCAUCCACUUAUCAGAGAGAACAUUUGGCCUUUGUUUUUUGGGAUUGGCUUACUUUGCUUAGCAAGAUAUUCUCCA